rnacentral:tRNA from 1 species
GGAAACGUAGUUUAAUUUGGUAAUAGCACCUUGCUAGAUUUAGUCAUAAUUUUCAGGCUAAGUUGUUUAACCCAAGGAGAUUGCAAGUUCGAGCCUUGCCGUUUCCG